rnacentral:lncRNA from 1 species
AAAUGUUCCAUACUGUACGUUACAUAGCCUGUGGUGCUGACUAGCUGCCAAAUAUCUAUCAGAGAGUGAUUUAUGAUAUAUGAUAUGUUCCUCAGCCCAAGUGGAGACUGUUUAGUUGAAACAUGAGAAAGGAGAGGCCUUGUGCUCUCAAAACCAUGAUGACAAGUUUCUGUUUGGCUUUCUGAGGGAACAUACAGUACAAAACGUGCCAUAUUUUACAAUGCCAAAACUUAUGUAAGGAACAAAACCAAAUUCCUUAACUCUUGUUUUAAGUAGAUUUUAGUUUUUCUUUCUUUUUUUUUCUCCCUUUUUGGUGAGGUCUGGCUCUUCAUAUAAACACAGCAGUUUUAAUUUUCCUUGCACUUUCCCUUCAACUCUAACUAAAGCUUGUGUUAUUAUUUCUGAUGCUGUCUGUACUGAAAAGCAUUUUUUUUUAAAUGCAGCUGUGAAGAAGUACCUCUUCCAUAUGGCUUUUGGGAGCUAGAUUUAACAUCCUGUGUAGAACAAUAUGAAACAUGAACUCCAUGGUCCGGAACAAGAAAAUUCCUGAAGGUCUUGUGAUAGCAUUCAUAGACAGUUACAGCCAGGGAAAAUAAAAUAAAUAAUCCCUGCCUGUACUAACAGUGGAUGUAUCUCUUUUAAACAGGCAUUCGAAUACCAUGGUACCUAAAUGCCAAUAUAUAUCAUGGAACAGAAACAAACUCAAAGGCUCAUUAUCUGAAGUGGGCUGUAUUUGCUUCUUCAUAUCAUUAUAUUUUUCUUCCUUGCAUAUCCUUGUCCUGUAUUUGUUCUUUACCACAUUUUAGUGUGGAAGAGUGGCUGGUCUGAAAAUUUGUCUUUACACAGCGAAUGUGAUAAGCCUACAGCACAUUCUGAUUUCAAGUAAAUCUAUCACAGUUGCAUGGUAUGUACAGGUUGACAACUGAAGAAAACCUCUCUCUUCGAGAUUGCUUCUCAAAAGAACCAUAUUUUCUUUUUCACCCUCACGUGACACCAAGUUGGCAUCUGAGAAAUCAACAACAAAUACUUGUGAGACAUGAGGAGGCAAAGAAUAUGGCAAGGAAAAUAAACAGAAACUUCCCAACACUAGAGAGUGGGCUGAGAGAUGGAGACAUGAUUCUUCUAAAAGACAAAUUCUCUGUCCUGUGGAUAUGCUUCAAACACAUUUUGUUAAGCAUGGAACUGAAACAUCUUUUCACUUAAAGUAUACCACAUUAGCAUUAGUUGCUACAUUAACUUGGUCUGACUAGCUCCUUCAUCGCUACCAAUGAAUAAAGCAGAUGUCUGUUUGCUUAUUUGUUUCA